ACGAAGGGGGCUAGCGUUGUUCGGAUUUACUGGGCGUAAAGCGCACGUAGGCGGAUAUUUAAGUCAGGGGUGAAAUCCCGGGGCUCAACCCCGGAACUGCCUUUGAUACUGGAUAUCUUGAGUAUGGAAGAGGUAAGUGGAAUUCCGAGUGUAGAGGUGAAAUUCGUAGAUAUUCGGAGGAACACCAGUGGCGAAGGCGGCUUACUGGUCCAUUACUGACGCUGAGGUGCGAAAGCGUGGGGAGCAAACAGG
rnacentral:rRNA from 1 species